rnacentral:lncRNA from 1 species
AACAAUUUAUUCUAAUUGUUCACCCUUUACAAAACAACGUCGACAUCCUUGGAGACUUGGAUCGCAUGUCCGCUUUCACUGAUUGUCAUCCCAACAGGAUUACCUGACAAUCAUGCAUCAUACAUUUGCAUCAUGUUGCUGCAUAUAGCAUCAUGUUUAUCUUGCUUGCCUUUCAAGUGUCUAGGAUUCUUUAUCCUAUUCAUGCCUUGCAUUGCAUGAAUAUGAU